UACGAAGGGGGCUAGCGUUGCUCGGAAUCACUGGGCGUAAAGAGCUCGUAGGCGGUCUGUUGCGUCGGCUGUGAAAACCCGGGGCUCAACCCCGGGCCUGCAGCCGAUACGGGCAGACUAGAGUUCGGCAGGGGAGACUGGAAUUCCUGGUGUAGCGGUGAAAUGCGCAGAUAUCAGGAGGAACACCGAUUGCGAAGGCAGCUCGCUGGGACGUGACUGACGCUGAGACGCGAAAGCGUGGGGAGCAAACAGG
rnacentral:rRNA from 1 species